rnacentral:lncRNA from 1 species
AACUAUCAAGACAAUUGCUGAUGCAGAUUGCUGUCCUCAACAGCACUAGGUUGGACCCCAUCACAGUUGAAGACUUUACCUCAUGGGUUACCAAUGCUUUCUCCCUUUUUAAGGAGUGGGCGGGCAUGUUUGUCCCGGGGAGCUAUUGUCCUCCUGGGAUGCGGAGUAGGUCUCUGGCUUAUUGGCCAUUUAAAAAGAGAACAUGCCAGACACAAAGUGGUUGUUUACCAGGCUAUGACCACCAUUAAAAAGGGUACUUCUCCCAA